UAACACGUGAGAAGGGAAAGACAAGUUCAUAUCCUUAUGAUUGUGCGAGAUCUAUGAGGUGAGAGAGAUACCUCCCAGGAUAUGAUAGGGAGCUUGCGGUCAGAGUAGACGAGGAGGCGAGAUGGAUGCAUGCCCACUAUCCGUACAUCUAGGAGUGUUGGGGAGACUGAUGUCAUUAUGUGCCUUUUUGUUUUGAGGAAUCGUAUUGGUGUCUUCCUAUUCUUUCUGUUAAUUUCUUCUUUGUAAUACUAUUGGUUAUGUUGGGUAUGGCAGUUCAUUAGGGUGAAUUUACUAUUA